rnacentral:rRNA from 1 species
AGUGAACGCUGGCGGUAGGCCUAACACAUGCAAGUCGAACGGCAGCACAGUAAGAGCUUGCUCUUACGGGUGGCGAGUGGCGGACGGGUGAGGAAUACAUCGGAAUCUACUUUUUCGUGGGGGAUAACGUAGGGAAACUUACGCUAAUACCGCAUACGACCUACGGGUGAAAGCAGGGGAUCUUCGGAACUUGCGCGAUUGAAUGAGCCGAUGUGGGAUUAGCUAGUUGGCGGGGUAAAGGCCCACCAAGGCGACGAUCCGUAGCUGGUCUGAGAGGAUGAUCAGCCAGACUGGAACUGGAACACGGUCCAGACUCCAACGGGAGGAGGCGGUGGGGAAUAUUGGACAAUGGGCGCAAGCCUGCUCCAGCCAUACCGGGUGGGGGAAGAAGGCCUUGGGGUGGUAAAGUCCUUUUGUUGGGAAAGAAAAGCAGCAGGUUGAUACCCCGCUGUUCUGACGGUACCCAAAGAAUAAGCACCGGCUAACUUCGUG